rnacentral:lncRNA from 1 species
GAGACAAUCAUUAACAAAUAAGCCAAAGUACAAGUUGUCUAAAGUAAGCCCGUGAAUGGAUCGAGUGAUGUUGAGUGACUCUCAUUCCGCACUAAUACGGAGGAACCUUAAAUCAAGAGUGAAUUGAAUAGAUGAACACAACCUCGAGGCUUCAGCUAUAUCUGAGUUCCGAAGAGCAUCAAGAUUUCAAGUAGCAGCAACAAGAACUACUCCUUUAAUAGCACUGAUAAUUGUUCCAAAACCCCAAGUGUUUUGAAUUGGGCCAACAGCGUCAACAUUGAUCUUAUAGCUAUCCUCAGGGGGAGGGGUCAAGGUAGUAGGAAAUGUUUCUUGGUGUGUGGUUAUAGCUCCAUGAUGAGCAUUCAACAACAUUAUGAAAUUUGUUGACUCGUCAAGCCUUCUGAGUUGUAUCAUCCACCUCAAAGUGUUUCCCUUUAAAACAAAAUUG